UGGGGAAUAUUGCGCAAUGGGCGAAAGCCUGACGCAGCGACGCCGCGUGAGGGACGAAGGCCUUCGGGUUGUAAACCUCUUUCAGCAGGGACGAAGCGAGAGUGACGGUACCUGCAGAAGAAGCACCGGCCAACUACGUGCCAGCAGCCGCGGUAAUACGUAGGGUGCAAGCGUUGUCCGGAAUCAUUGGGCGUAAAGAGCUCGUAGGCGGUCUGUCACGUCGGCUGUGAAAAUCCGGGGCUCAACCCCGGACCUGCAGUCGAUACGGGCAGACUAGAGUUCGGUAGGGGAGACUGGAAUUCCUGGUGUAGCGGUGAAAUGCGCAGAUAUCAGGAGGAACACCGGUGGCGAAGGCGGGUCUCUGGGCCGAAACUGACGCUGAGGAGCGAAAGCGUGGGGAGCGAACAG
rnacentral:rRNA from 1 species